rnacentral:misc_RNA from 1 species
UGUGGGAGCGGGCUUGCCCGCGAUAGCGGUAUGUCUGGCACAUCAAUGUUGGAUCUGCUGCCGCCAUCGCGGGCAAGCCCGCUCCCACA